rnacentral:rRNA from 1 species
CCUACGGGUGGCAGCAGUGAGGAAUAUUGGUCAAUGGUCGGGAGCCUGAACCAGCCAAGUCUCGUGAGGGAUGAAGGUUCUAUGGAUCGUAAACCUCUUUUAUAAGGGAAUAAAGUGUGGGACGUGUCCUAUUUUGUAUGUACCUUAUGAAAAAGCAUCGGCUAACUCCGUGCCAGCAGCCGCGGUAAUACGGAGGAUGCGAGCGUUAUCCGGAUUUAUUGGGUUUAAUGGGUUCGUAGGCGGUCCGGAAAGUCAGCGGUAAAAGCCCGGGGCUCAACCCCGGCGAGCCGUUGAAACUGUCGGACUAGAGACGGCGAGAAGUACGCGGAAUGCGCGGUGUAGCAGUGAAAUGCAUAGAUAUCGCGCAGAACUCCGAUUGCGAAGGCAGCGUACCGGCGCCGGACUGACGCUGAGGCACGAAAGCGUGGGUAUCGAACAGGAUUAGAUACCCGGGUAGUC